rnacentral:tRNA from 1 species
GCCGGACUAGUUCAAUUGGUAGAGCAGCAGUCUCCAAAACUGCAAGUUGGGGGUUCGAGUCCCUCGUCCGGUGCCA